rnacentral:lncRNA from 1 species
GGUAUGUGCUCACGAGAAAUGAAGGUGUAUGUCCAGACAGACUCUCACACACAGAUGUCCAUAGCAGCAUUAUUCACAACAGCCAAAAAGUGAUCUGUAAUCCCAGCACUUUGGGGAGGCCAAGGCAGAAGGAUCACUUUGGGGAGGCCAAGGCAGGAGUUUGAAACCAGCCUGGGCAACCUCACAUCUACAAAAAAUAUAAAAAUUAGCUGGGCAUGGUGGUGUGUGCCGUCUUUGUUGUUGUUUUGAGAUGGAGUCUCGCCCUGUUGCCAGACUGGAGUGCAGUGGCGCAAUCUCGGCCCACUGCAACCUCCGACUUCCUGGUUCAAGCAAUUCUUCUGCCUCAGCCUCCCAAGUAGCUGGGAUUACAGGCACGCACCACCACACCAGGCUAAUUUUUGUAUUUUUAGUAGAGACUGCGUUUCACCAUGCUGG